GAUGAACGCUAGCUACAGGCUUAACACAUGCAAGUCGAGGGACCGGCGCACGGGUGAGUAACACGUAUCCAACCUGCCCUUUACUCGGGGAUAGCCUUUCGAAAGACAGAUUAAUACCCGAUAUAAAGGAUGGGGAGUCGUUCCAUUAGGUUGUUGGUGAGGUAACGGCCCACCAAGCCUUCGAUGGAUAGGGGUUCUGAGAGGAAGGUCCCCCACAUUGGAACUGAGACACGGUCCAAACUCCUACGGGAGGCAGGAGUGAGGAAUAUUGGGCAAUGGGCGUUAGCCUGAACCAGCCAAGUAGCGGGAAGGAUGAAGGCUUAUGGGUCGUAAACUUCUUUUAUAUAAGAAGAUGUAUUAUAUGAAUAAGGAUCGGCUAACUCCGUGCCAGCCGCCGCGGUAAUUC
rnacentral:rRNA from 1 species